CGUGGAGAGCCGGGACCAAUCCUCACACGAAAACACAGCUCACCAGACCAAUCCUUUCCCGUCCUCGAGCCCCACACCGCCGUCCGGCAUCCCCUGCUCCUCGGCCCUCCGCCGCCUCACGGCCUCUCGCACCGCCACCUUCUCUCCCGGGCCUCCUCCCCAGCGCUCGCGGUGCAGCAGCGUGGGCGCCGCCACGUUCUUGAUCCAGUCGGAUCUGGCGCAGGUCCCCGUCAUCCGGCGCCGCACGCGGUGAUUCCAGAUCGGGCGAGGUCGCCGCCAGGAGAGCAGGAGAGGCUGCUGCAGCGAGUGCAGCGGAGGAGCCCAUCCUGGUCAAGCCCCACCCGGCGGCUGCGUGUGGAGGAGGAGAGGUCGAGGAUGGCCCCAGUUUGUGGAGGAGACGCCCAGCAAAGAUAGGGUUAGCGAGGAGGAGGUUGUCCCCGCGAAGAGGCAGCGUGAGGCUGCACCGGCGCCUCCCCGCGAAGUGGGUAAGGACGCCGUCAGUACGUGAUAAGAUUAGGUGCUGGACUGCUGGGUACCACGUCCACCCCAUGCCCAAAUCACACAGGUCAGCUUAUACUCCAUAUAUGAUUUUUUCAUCUCAGCUGUACCAGAAUAAAAGAACCAUGCCCAGAACGUGUUUGCCUUCACCAAGAUUAGUAUUUUCUAUAGGUCUUGCAUCGUCUCCUUCUGACCACACAUACCCCAUAAUCCGGUGCAUUCAUUCCUUCCUUGAUUUCUCCAUAAACUGUACCAUUUAUGUACCUUUAUUCACUAGGCUAGGAGGCGGGGUUGUGGCUUUGGUUGUAGACAUUCAUAUGCAUACACACAAGGACGGAUAUUCCAGAUGUGCUCACCUUGCCAAAAUAUCAUUGUUGGUAGCAUAGCCGUAUCACUGCACUUGGCAUCUACCUUAUUGUAUUAGGAUGGCGGGUGUUUCAUGAGGUUUUAUUUUGUGAGUUCUGGUAUUAUUUGUUAUUCAUGCGUGAAACUAUUUCUGAACCUAUAUGACAUACAUUUAGUGUUACCAGUCUGCACCUAUAUGACAUACAUUUAGUGUUACCAGUCUGCAAGUUAUGAUAGCAAUGGUUUAAACAUUUUUCUUGUUUUAUCUUUUUGUAAUCAUAUCACUUGUGGGGAAUAUGUUCAGAUGUCUCAUGUUUGGAAAGGUCAGUAUACUGAGGAGCUUGAGAGUAAAGACUAACCAGUAAAUGAUCUAUUUUUGCAAGGGCCAUUACACAUAUCAUGGAAACAAGAUGAUUAUUGAUUUCUGCGGCACAAGGCCCUAUCUAUAUUCAAAAUAUAUUCAUUUCUGAAUAAUGCAAUUAGAAGCAAUAGAAGUGUUUGCUGAAAUGGAUUUUCUUACUCGAAAAAAAUAUAUUGUGAGACUUGAAGCAAAGGACGAAGAGUAUAUCUCAACAAUAGGCAAUUAAACAUGGUAAAUAAUUCAUCACGCCCUUAGAUUUUUUUGUUUCUCGUCUGAGAGUUCUGCUCUCCCUUAAAAUAGCAUUUCGGAAAUUGCAUUGACUUUAUGUGAUAUUUAGUCAAGUGCAAACCUUCAGUUAAUUUUGCUGGCACUAUAUUUUCUUUUUGCUGUCAACAGAAUUGGGGACAUUGUGCAUUCGUUGACAUUAACAAGGAUAGCAUGCAUUCUUGAAGUAAGUCUGAUGGCUAGCUUAGCAUUGUGUACAAGCAUAGGAGUUUUUGCUAUAUAUUUUGCAGGCUGAUUUCAAACACUGAAAGAAUAUUUAAUUGAUAGAAUGUACCAUAAAAACCUUACACAUCUUCUCUUUGUAUAUGUUUUAAUUGCUUUCAUGAUUAUCAGUUCCCACUAGGAAUGUACACUUCAGGUUGUGGUGUUGAUCCUUCAGCGUUACACCCUGAGUAUUUAACCAUUAGAUGACUGACCCUAUAAACCUCUUAAAAAAUGCAUUGUUACUUUUUAUGCUGAGCUAACCUUAUUCAGUUUAUGAACAUCUGUACAUGCUGCUACAGAGCAUAAAAAGGAGAAAAUACAAAUUCGUUUGCUGACUGUUCUUGCAUCAAUAGUUUUGUGGUACAAAAUAGGAGCCAAUAGGCUCACUUGUAGUAUUAGACUGUUCUCCUAUGUUACAGCUAGCAGGUUCCAUUUUGUUUCUACGUAUUGUUCGCUAAAGAAGGUUGAAGAGAUACCGCUAUGGGGAAGAAAAAUGUGGUGAGAUGGGGAUUACAGUUUAUUGCAAACUCAGAUGGGAUUAUAGUUUUUGUUUUUUUGUUGAUCAUGUUUUCUUAAGAUAAUUCAUUGAUAGCUGAUUUUGUUGUCUACAGAUUUUCUUAGAAUAGUACCAACAUUGUUCAUACUACUGCUUGUGGGGUCGUCCUCCUGAUUUUGUUAGGAAGCUUUGCUUAUGGUUACCUGCAAAUUGCUCUUGGAUGCAUGUGAUCAUUUAGUUUUAUAUCCAUGCUUGUGUGGUUUGCUCGUGCAGGCCAUCCCUUUCGGUGGCCUGUGUGCAGUCCAUACUACCUGCUUCUUCGUAUUUGCUUGGUAUUUAUUUAUAUAUGGUCAACUCAGAUGGGGUUGCUUUCUAAAUUUAGCACAACUAAUGAUGUUGCUUUAGUAUGUUUUCUUUAGUAUGCUUCCUCAUCCGGCAGACCACCUCCUACAUUAGUAUGUGUGCUUCUGAAUUUAGCACGAUAACUAUUGAUGUUGCUUUAGUACGUUUUCUUUAGGAUCCAAUGGGCGACCACUUCCUCUUUACACAUGAAAUGCUUCUUCUUUCUCACUAAUGCAUGCUAUUAUCAGCCUUUCAUUUUCCUCACUAAUGCAUGCAAGUUAAUUAACUAUCUAAUAGAACGAAACUCUGCGUCUAGGGUCCAGUAGGUGUUCUGUUUGCUGUUUACUAAUGGUCUGAUCUAUUUAUUGUUGCAUGUGCAAAUAGUGAUCCUUGUUGCUCACUGAUACAUGCAGGUUUAUUAACCUUUUCCUUUUCUUCCCAUAAAUUUUCUUUGAUUCAGUUAUUUGACUAAAUAGUAUUAUAUGCCCAGGGUUAAUUAGUACCUAAAAUGCUACCUUCAGUUUCUGCAAUUGUUAUUAUGUUCCAUUGGUUCAGUCCUGUAGUUCAGUAGUUCCAGUGGAUUUUGCUAAAUGGUUUUGCAUCUAUAAUUAGUAAAAAAAGGCCUCGGUUGGUUUCUGCAAUAAUUUCCCUCAAGCUUUCUACAGUCGGAUAUUUAUUAGUUAUUACACAUAUAGAGCUCUUUAAUUUCUUUGUUUAUAAUAUGACAUUCCCUCAUUAGUUUUCUGUUAUGUGGAGGAUAUUUUUCUUUUGCUGUGACAUGUGCUUUGUUAUGUGCAGGUUGCAGUCACAAGGAUGAUCUGGCCGACCAUGUCAGCAAGGCCAAUGCAACAGAGUUGAAGGAAAUAUUACGACAUGAACGGUGUGAUGACCCGUGUGCAACCUCAACAAGUGUGAAAGUACCCUUCGUUAAAGUUUGUGUUUUCUGCACAAGUUGUGGUUUAUACUUAACAGGGAAAAAAUGAUUAUGUGAUAUAGUAAAGAGAGUUGUUUCUAACCUGCUACGCAACAAGGAUUGCAACAUUUUGCAGUCUCUUAGGCUGUUGAAGAGAAUGGAGGAAACUGAAGGCGCUAACAGUUCCUGUUUGAAGGUCAUCACGGACUAUAAUUGCUACGAAGUUUAUGUUGACAGAUUUGUUUGUUUUUUCCUUUUUAAGAAUCAGUUAUUUUUGUAAGCACCACUAAGCCUACCUUGCAGACCAUCUUGGUGUUUUAGCAACAACAGUGAACAUCUUUGUUCUCUUUUUCAACUUCUUUUCAAUAAUCAAUAGCACAAAUAGAUAUGCUUUUACCUAUAUAACCUCUACUGUUGUUC
rnacentral:rRNA from 1 species